rnacentral:rRNA from 1 species
AUUGAACGCUGGCGGCAGGCCUAACACAUGCAAGUCGAACGGUAGCACAGAGGAGCUUGCUCCUUGGGUGACGAGUGGCGGACGGGUGAGUAAUGUCUGGGAAACUGCCCGAUGGAGGGGGAUAACUACUGGAAACGGUAGCUAAUACCGCAUAACGUCGCAAGACCAAAGAGGGGGACCUUCGUGCCUCUUGCCAUCGGUGGUGCCCAGAUGGGGUUAGCUAGUAGGUGGGGUAACGGCUCACCUAGGCGACGAUCCCUAGCUGGUCUGAGAGGAUGACCAGCCACACUGGAACUGAGACACGGUCCAGACUCCUACGGGAGGCAGCAGUGGGGAAUAUUGCACAAUGGGCGCAAGCCUGAUGCAGCCAUGCCGCGUGUAUGAAGAAGGCCUUCGGGUUGUAAAGUACUUUCAGCGAGGAGGAAGGUGUUGAGGUUAAUAACCUCAGCAAUUGACGUUACUCGCAGAAGAAGCACCGGCUAACUCCGUGCCAGCAGCCGCCGUAA